GGAGGGAUGGGUGAGUGGCUGAAACCGGUUGUUUGCUAAACAACUGUAUGGGUAAAACCAUACCGGGGGUUCGAAUCCCCCUCCCUCCG
rnacentral:tRNA from 1 species